GCACUACUGAGGAGUCCCACAAUAGAACCAAACAGCUGUCCAGUAC
rnacentral:hammerhead_ribozyme from 1 species